UGGUGAGAAAAGGGCGUUAUAAAUUUGAAAAUUCUACGCUCUCACACUCACGCGGCGUGCUUUGUAGGUUUGUUUCGUACUCAAAGCUCUCGAAUUUGAGCGCAGGAGGCUGCUAGGGUUUUUCGCUUCUUCUUCCCCGCAUCGCUUCAGGCACUUGUUAAAGACUGAAACGAUGUCCCGUGUGUAUGUUGGUAAUCUGGAUUCAAGGGUCACAGAGAGGGACCUUGAAGAUGAAUUCCGUGUUUUCGGAGUUAUUCGGAGUGUUUGGGUUGCAAGGAGGCCGCCUGGUUAUGCUUUUAUUGACUUUGAUGACAGUAGAGAUGCGCGUGAUGCUAUUCGUGAAUUGGAUGGCAAGAAUGGUUGGAGGGUAGAGCUUUCUCACAAUUCAAGAGGUGGAGGUGGUGGCCGUGGAGGUGGCCGUGGUCGCUCUGGUGGUUCUGAUUUGAAAUGCUAUGAGUGUGGUGAACCUGGUCAUUUUGCUCGGGAGUGUCGCUUGCGUGGUGGUUCAGGAAGACGUCGUAGCCGCAGCCCACCCCGAUUCCGUAGGAGCCCAAGUUAUGGUCGGAGAAGUUACAGUCCCCGUGGACGGUCCCCUAGGCGCCGCAGUUUGUCACCUCGUGGACGGAGCUACAGCAGGUCACCUCCUUACCGUGGACGUGAGGAGUUACCAUAUGCCAAUGGAAAUGGCAUUAGGGAACGUCGCCGAAGCAGAAGUUGAAAUUUAAAUGUUGGUAGCUGCAGUUAUUAAGAGGAUAAUGAAAUUAUGUUAAUCAAUGGUGCUUGGACUGCACCAUAAGUAUGUUUUGUUGGGCAAUGCCCUGAGACUCCACAGUUCUACUCUUGGAUUGGAUUAGUUACUUGAAUUCUCGGCUUGUGUUGCUUUUAUCUAUGAAGAAAAUUUUUAGUUCCAUUGCAGGUUUCUACUGGUACUCUGCUUCAUUGCUUUUCUGCUUCUUCGUUCAGUGGAUUGUAGUCUCUGGCUGCCCUUCUCUGCAAUUUUCGAUUUUUGAAUGGUUGUGGGUCAUAGCUGGCUACAUACGCUGCAUGCUUGUUUCAUUGACUCGCCACUUGCAAUGUGCACGCGCCAAAAUUCUAAUGGCAUUUGUUUUUGUUAACAUGAGAGUUUUUGCCCUGCAUCGAAUAUAAGGGUUAGUCGGCCUGCAUCAAACACUUCUGGCAGGUACUCCUCUGUUGGGCCGGUGGGUUUUUUUUGACAUGUUAAACCUAGGUAUCAGUGAGUGUGGAUGGGAAUUUCAAUAGAUAAAUCUCAAAUUAUUGUGACCAAAAUCAUAACUAUGCUGUUUAGAGAUCAUGACCCUCAUUCUAUGCCCUUUACAUGUGAUACAACAAAACAACAAAAAAGAACUUAACCUUCAGUUGGAUUCAAA